GACGAACGCUGGCGGCGUGCUUAACACAUGCAAGUCGAGCGGUAAGGCCCUUUCGGGGUACGACGAGCGGCGAACGGGUGAGUAACACGUGGGUGACCUGCCCUCAGCUCUGGGAUAAGCCUGGGAAACCGGGUCUAAUACUGGAUAUGACUCCAUGACGCAUGUUGUGGGGUGGAAAGCCUUGUGCGGCUGAGGAUGGGGCCCNCGGCCUAUCAGCUUGUUGGUGGGGUGANGGCCUACCAAGGCGACGACGGGUAGCCGGCCUGAGAGGGCGACCGGCCACACUGGGACUGAGACACGGGCCCAGACUCCUACGGGAGGCAGCAGUGGGGAAUCCUGCGCAAUGGGCAAAGCCUGACGCAGCGACGCCGCGUGAGGGAUGACGGCCU
rnacentral:rRNA from 1 species